GCAGUCGAACGGUAACAGGACGCUAGGAUCCCUUCGGGGUGACUUUGUCGCUGACGAGUGGCGGACGGGUGAGUAAUGCAUAGGAAUCUACCCAGUAGCGGGGGAUAACUCGAAGAAAUUCGAGCUAAUACCGCAUACGUCCUACGGGAGAAAGCGGGGGACCUUCGGGCCUCGCACUAUUGGAUGAGCCUAUGUCAGAUUAGCUAGUUGGUAGGGUAACGGCCUACCAAGGCGACGAUCUGUAGCUGGUCUGAGAGGAUGAUCAGCCACACUGGGACUGAGACACGGCCCAGACUCCUACGGGAGGCAGCAGUGGGGAAUAUUGGACAAUGGGCGCAAGCCUGAUCCAGCAAUGCCGCGUGUGUGAAGAAGGCCUGCGGGUUGUAAAGCACUUUUAUCAGGAAAGAAAAACCCGGAGUUAAUACCUCCGGCAUUGACGGUACCUGAAGA
rnacentral:rRNA from 1 species